AGCGGGGCUCAUGUUGAUAAGCAUUUCCAUUCCGAAAUAUCACAACAAUCUCCAAAGACACAUCCAUCUAACCUUCUGUCACCAUAAAAAAGCAAUGGCAAAUUACUAGGGAGGGGGAAGAGAACAAGAAAUAACAGUGCCUACAAGUUUAAUAACAACAGUUUCUAAAGCGCAUUGAAAAAUAACUCCAUCAGCCCUGUGAAAUAACACCUUGCUUAAUUACUUCUAAAAUGAUAAAGGUAUGGUAUGCAACUAAGAACAGACUGUCAUGCUACAGGACUGUCUUCAUCUGUAAUAAGUAAGCAAAAAUAUAACUGUAUAGACGACAAAUACUAAAAGAUUGUAGCAGAGCUGAGAACUUCUCAGGGAUGUGAAGAAAACUGACCCCAGUGCACGCAUUCAUACUGAUAUUCCUACACCUUAAAGUUUUGAGUGCACGAUACUUUGACAAGCUGCGAAUUCAAAUUUAACAUUGCAGUUUCAAAAGCACUAUCGCAAAAAGUUCUUGGAAGUCAACAUUACCCAAAUAAAAAAGUGUCAUGAGACUGAUCUUUUCUAUCAACCAGACUCCGCUGCCACCCCUUAUGGUACUUUAGCCAAGGAAGCGGAAACCUUGAAAAACAAACAAAAAAAACCCGUUCUAUUCAGACUAGACCUCUGGUUGGAGAUAACUUUGAAGCCACAUACAGUGAUUCUUAAUGAGAAAUUAAACCAGAUAGGUCUGACAGCAAAAAAAAAAAAAAGUUGGCAAAUUAACUGGCUAAACUUCUCAUCUGUAGUUGAGACACUGAGAUGAGGUGGUGUUCUGACUACGUCCCCUCAGCUUCCAAAAUCUCAAUCUUUUCAUAACAUAUGACGCCACAGGACUCCAUAAAACAAAGCAAAGCCAGCAGGCCAGCACAGCAAAGUUUUAGGGCUAAGUUUGACUUAAAGUCAAAGCAUGACAAAUCUCUUUUCCAGACACUUACUAAUUUUCAGCAUGGAAUAUUUCAGGUGAAACAAAAAUCUGCUAUAAAGAGACCAUUAAGUAAUACUGUACCUGAGGUAUUACAAAAAUGAACAGGAAAUCUCAGUUCUCC